rnacentral:tRNA from 1 species
GGGGAUAUGACUCAGUUGGUAGAGUGUUUAUCUAGCAUGAAUAAGGCCUUGGGUUCAAUCCCCAGCAUCAUCA